rnacentral:rRNA from 1 species
AACGAACGCUGGCGGCAUGCCUAACACAUGCAAGUCGAACGAUGCCUUCGGGCAUAGUGGCGCACGGGUGCGUAACGCGUGGGAAUCUGCCUUUCGGUUCGGAAUAACUCAGGGAAACUUGAGCUAAUACCGGAUAACGUCGCAAGACCAAAGAUUUAUCACCGAAAGAUGAGCCCGCGUAGGAUUAGCUAGUUGGUGAGGUAAAGGCUCACCAAGGCGACGAUCCUUAGCUGGUCUGAGAGGAUGAUCAGCCACACUGGGACUGAGACACGGCCCAGACUCCUACGGGAAGCAGCAGUGGGGAAUAUUGGAUAAUGGGCGAAAGCCUGAUCCAGCAAUGCCGCGUGAGUGAUGAAGGCCUUAGGGUUGUAAAGCUCUUUUACCCGGGAAGAUAAUGACGGUACCGGGAGAAUAAGCCCCGGCUAACUCCGUG